UACGUAGGGCGCAAGCGUUGUCCGGAAUUAUUGGGCGUAAAGAGCUCGUAGGCGGCUUGUCACGUCGGAUGUGAAAGCCCGGGGCUUAACUCCGGGUCUGCAUUCGAUACGGGCUGGCUAGAGUGUGGUAGGGGAGAUCGGAAUUCCUGGUGUAGCGGUGAAAUGCGCAGAUAUCAGGAGGAACACCGGUGGCGAAGGCGGAUCUCUGGGCCGAUACUGACGCUGAGGAGCGAAAGCGUGGGGAGCGAACAGG
rnacentral:rRNA from 1 species